UUGCUUUAGUAGCACAUUAACUAUAAUCGGAAGGAUACAGAGAUUUGUAUGGCUCCUACACAAAGGUGACAUAUAAAUAGGUGAAAUGUUCCACAUUAAA
ensembl:snRNA U6 U6 spliceosomal RNA